AAUUACAUUUCCUUCAAUCUCCUUUCUUUGAGAUUUCUUUUCAAAACGUAUUCAUUCAAUGUCAUUGAAUACACCAAAACCUUUCACCGCCUUCUCUCUUCAAUUAUUACGAAUACCUAAAUUUUUCCAUAUUUCAAUGGAUUUUCUCAUUCAAGCUACAUAUAUAGAUUUCACUUCUGCAUCUUCUAAAUCUGCGUCGUCCUUUUCUUCAAUCUAUAUCGGAUUUUCUUUGUUCAUCCAUCUCGAAAUCUAGUUGAGAUUUGUAGUGCGAAUGGCAUCGGUAUCCAGUCAGCCUUAGUUUUGGUACACAGACUCCAUCGAAGGCUCUUAAACUGAGGAACUUGCCUAGGGAGUGUAUUGAAGAAGAAUUAAUUGAACUUGGGAAGUUGUUUAUUAAAGUUAUGAACAUACAUGUAAUGUUGGAGCGAACAGAAUUCAAGCCUUUAUUGAUUUAUCUUUUUAUCAACGAUUUGGCAAUUCUUCUUUUGAUCAACACUAUGUAAGGUGUAGUACAAGAUGGGCCCGAUGGAACAUUGGCAAAGAUAGGCAUCUUGAUCACCGAAAGAGGCUUAUAAUUGCAAUGGAUGUGGCAUUUGGAAUGGAGUAUUUGCACUCCAAGAACAUUGUGCAUUUUGAUUUGAAAUGUGACAAUCUUCUUGUGAAUAUGAAGGAUUCUUCACACCCUAUAUGCAAGGUAGGUGACUUUGGACUAUCAAAAAUCAAGAGGAACACUUAGGUUUCAGGUGGAGUUAGGGGAACCCUGCUGUGGAUGGCUCCCGAGCUACUGAAUGGGAGAUUCUUACUUGUGAAGAGCCGUACGCCAUCCUGCACUAUUCGUAAAUGCCGGUGCGAUUGUUCAAGGUUUAGUUGAGUCAAGUGCUUGGGUUUUCUUGUGGCCAUUUUCUCCAUAAAUGUGGGUCGUCACCACGGUUUUCUUCGUCAUAAUUGGAAUUGUGAUACGAAUACAGGAACACACGUGGAAUGAAGAAUCUAGGGGUCCACCAUAGCAACAUGAGGUCCCUAUCUUCUUCUGAAACAUGCAAUAAUCUUGGAGUCCGAGACAAGACAACCUUGAUAAAGCCUUAGAGUGUUAUCAGUGGUCUUUGUCAACUAAACCCAAUUUCUCUCAAUCGUUAAACAACUUUGGUGUAGUCUACAUAGUGCAGGUACAAUUACAUCUAUCAGUAUCUAAUAAAGCAAUAUGAUUCAUCUAUUACUAGAUUGCAAUUUAAAUAAAUAUACAAGGUAAAAAGGAUGUUACUGGUAGAUAGAUAGAGAAAGCAAUUGUGGUAGAAACCCACUUAUGCAAAAGCUUACAAUAAUUUAGGUUUGUUUCAACAUAAGUAUACACUAAAAUCAUCAACUAUUUAGACUGCACUGGGGGAGACCUUUUAAAUUUGGCUCAAUUGAAAUAAUAACCUAUUGGUUCUGUAGGUCCGCUUUGUUUAUGUUAUAUACAAAAUGCAACUGGUGAACAGUACCAGCUCGAAUGAGUGCUAUAUAGGAUACAUAUAUACUAUAUUAAAGAAUCCAACCAAAGAAUGGAUUUUGUCCACUGGUAGCGCGUCUUUUAUAUUCUUGAUAACGAAAAAAAUAUGUAAGUAAGCUUUGAUGUUUAAGUAUCUUUUUAAGUUCAAGACUUUUAACUGUAUUAUAAGUAUGCUUUAUAUAUCGCUUCAUGUUCAUCAACUCACCUUUAUUGGUAUGAUGAUGGGGUUAGACUAAAUGCUUAAGAAUGCUCCAAUGUUCAAAUGUUUAGAAGCUUGAAUUAAGGUUGAGCACUUGGUGUUGGUCGGGGCCACGCUAUUGAUAUGCGAGCUCGGAAUUCCGACGUUUAGAAGACUUUUGCAGCACUUAACAGCAACAUGGCCUAGGUAUAUUCAAGCAUUGAUGGGCAAAGCAAAAGCGCAUGAGCGAGAACCUUAGAUAAUAUUUAUCUUUUCAUUAAAGAGGGCGGCUAGAGGGUCCAUUAGAAAUCAAAUUGAUGUGCUGUCUGUUUAAACUAAAGCUCUUCUUGAUCCGCUCAAUGGUUUGCCCAAGUAAGAAGAAAUUUUAUAUUUAAUAUGUUAACUAAAGGGAAUUUUCUGGGUACGGAUUGACACCCAUAUUUAGUAUCACUACAAGAAAUACUACUUUUAGCAGCGACAUCUAAAAAGUCGCCGCUAAAGGUCUUGAUCCUUGACACCCACAUUUAACAUCAUCUGGGCCGUUGAUUGAUGUUAGAUCAAAUGGACAGGGAAUAAAACAACAAUAGACUCUCCUCUUUCAUUUAACAUCAUCUGGGCCAUUGAUUCAUGUACCCAAACAUGUUUUAACAUAAUAAGUUGUUUUUCUUUCCGAA